CGUCCCGUAGCUCAGCGGAAGAGCUCCCCGCCCACAUCGGGGUGGUCCCGGGUUCGAAUCCUGGCGGGACGAC
rnacentral:tRNA from 1 species